rnacentral:rRNA from 1 species
UUAAGCGACUAAGCGUACACGGUGGAUGCCCUGGCAGUCAGAGGCGAUGAAGGACGUGCUAAUCUGCGAUAAGCGUCGGUAAGGUGAUAUGAACCGUUAUAACCGGCGAUUUCCGAAUGGGGAAACCCAGUGUGUUUCGACACACUAUCAUUAACUGAAUCCAUAGGUUAAUGAGGCGAACCGGGGGAACUGAAACAUCUAAGUACCCCGGAAAAGAAAUCAACCGAGAUUCCCCCAGUAGCGGCGAGCGAACGGGGAGCAGCCCAGAGCCUGAAUCAGUGUGUGUGUUAGUGGAAGCGUCUGGAAAGGCGCGCGAUACAGGGUGACAGCCCCGUACACAAAAAUGCACAUGCUGUGAGCUCGAUGAGUAGGGCGGGACACGUGGUAUCCUGUCUGAAUAUGGGGGGACCAUCCUCCAAGGCUAAAUACUCCUGACUGACCGAUAGUGAACCAGUACCGUGAGGGAAAGGCGAAAAGAACCCCGGCGAGGGGAGUGAAAAAGAACCUGAAACCGUGUACGUACAAGCAGUGGGAGCACGCUUAGGCGUGUGACUGCGUACCUUUUGUAUAAUGGGUCAGCGACUUAUAUUCUGUAGCAAGGUUAACCGAAUAGGGGAGCCGAAGGGAAACCGAGUCUUAACUGGGCGUUAAGUUGCAGGGUAUAGACCCGAAACCCGGUGAUCUAGCCAUGGGCAGGUUGAAGGUUGGGUAACACUAACUGGAGGACCGAACCGACUAAUGUUGAAAAAUUAGCGGAUGACUUGUGGCUGGGGGUGAAAGGCCAAUCAAACCGGGAGAUAGCUGGUUCUCCCCGAAAGCUAUUUAGGUAGCGCCUCGUGAAUUCAUCUCCGGGGGUAGAGCACUGUUUCGGCAAGGGGGUCAUCCCGACUUACCAACCCGAUGCAAACUGCGAAUACCGGAGAAUGUUAUCACGGGAGACACACGGCGGGUGCUAACGUCCGUCGUGAAGAGGGAAACAACCCAGACCGCCAGCUAAGGUCCCAAAGUCAUGGUUAAGUGGGAAACGAUGUGGGAAGGCCCAGACAGCCAGGAUGUUGGCUUAGAAGCAGCCAUCAUUUAAAGAAAGCGUAAUAGCUCACUGGUCGAGUCGGCCUGCGCGGAAGAUGUAACGGGGCUAAACCAUGCACCGAAGCUGCGGCAGCGACGCUUAUGCGUUGUUGGGUAGGGGAGCGUUCUGUAAGCCUGUGAAGGUGUACUGUGAGGUAUGCUGGAGGUAUCAGAAGUGCGAAUGCUGACAUAAGUAACGAUAAAGCGGGUGAAAAGCCCGCUCGCCGGAAGACCAAGGGUUCCUGUCCAACGUUAAUCGGGGCAGGGUGAGUCGACCCCUAAGGCGAGGCCGAAAGGCGUAGUCGAUGGGAAACAGGUUAAUAUUCCUGUACUUGGUGUUACUGCGAAGGGGGGACGGAGAAGGCUAUGUUGGCCGGGCGACGGUUGUCCCGGUUUAAGCGUGUAGGCUGGUUUUCCAGGCAAAUCCGGAAAAUCAAGGCUGAGGCGUGAUGACGAGGCACUACGGUGCUGAAGCAACAAAUGCCCUGCUUCCAGGAAAAGCCUCUAAGCAUCAGGUAACAUCAAAUCGUACCCCAAACCGACACAGGUGGUCAGGUAGAGAAUACCAAGGCGCUUGAGAGAACUCGGGUGAAGGAACUAGGCAAAAUGGUGCCGUAACUUCGGGAGAAGGCACGCUGAUAUGUAGGUGAAGUCCCUCGCGGAUGGAGCUGAAAUCAGUCGAAGAUACCAGCUGGCUGCAACUGUUUAUUAAAAACACAGCACUGUGCAAACACGAAAGUGGACGUAUACGGUGUGACGCCUGCCCGGUGCCGGAAGGUUAAUUGAUGGGGUCAGCGCAAGCGAAGCUCUUGAUCGAAGCCCCGGUAAACGGCGGCCGUAACUAUAACGGUCCUAAGGUAGCGAAAUUCCUUGUCGGGUAAGUUCCGACCUGCACGAAUGGCGUAAUGAUGGCCAGGCUGUCUCCACCCGAGACUCAGUGAAAUUGAACUCGCUGUGAAGAUGCAGUGUACCCGCGGCAAGACGGAAAGACCCCGUGAACCUUUACUAUAGCUUGACACUGAACAUUGAGCCUUGAUGUGUAGGAUAGGUGGGAGGCUUUGAAGUGUGGACGCCAGUCUGCAUGGAGCCGACCUUGAAAUACCACCCUUUAAUGUUUGAUGUUCUAACGUUGACCCGUGAUCCGGGUUGCGGACAGUGUCUGGUGGGUAGUUUGACUGGGGCGGUCUCCUCCUAAAGAGUAACGGAGGAGCACGAAGGUUGGCUAAUCCUGGUCGGACAUCAGGAGGUUAGUGCAAUGGCAUAAGCCAGCUUGACUGCGAGCGUGACGGCGCGAGCAGGUGCGAAAGCAGGUCAUAGUGAUCCGGUGGUUCUGAAUGGAAGGGCCAUCGCUCAACGGAUAAAAGGUACUCCGGGGAUAACAGGCUGAUACCGCCCAAGAGUUCAUAUCGACGGCGGUGUUUGGCACCUCGAUGUCGGCUCAUCACAUCCUGGGGCUGAAGUAGGUCCCAAGGGUAUGGCUGUUCGCCAUUUAAAGUGGUACGCGAGCUGGGUUUAGAACGUCGUGAGACAGUUCGGUCCCUAUCUGCCGUGGGCGCUGGAGAACUGAGGGGGGCUGCUCCUAGUACGAGAGGACCGGAGUGGACGCAUCACUGGUGUUCGGGUUGUCAUGCCAAUGGCACUGCCCGGUAGCUAAAUGCGGAAGAGAUAAGUGCUGAAAGCAUCUAAGCACGAAACUUGCCCCGAGAUGAGUUCUCCCUGACCCUUUAAGGGUCCUGAAGGAACGUUGAAGACGACGACGUUGAUAGGCCGGGUGUGUAAGCGCAGCGAUGCGUUGAGCUAACCGGUACUAAUGAACCGUGAGGCUUAACCUU